rnacentral:piRNA from 1 species
UAAGAACAGGUUUCAGAAGGAUUAACUUU